CGAGAGAGAGAGAGAGAGAGAGAGAGAGAGAGAGAGAGAGAGAGAGAGAGAGAGAGAGCGUGUGUGUGUGUGUGUGUGUGUGUGUGUGUGUGGUGUAUGUACGCGUUUUCUCACGGUGGGAUGUUUAUUUCGGUGAACGCCAGGAAAGUGCAGUGUUAGAGAUCUGUCUGUGCUAGCUAGCUCGGGAGCAAACACGCCGCAAGCAACUGUAAUCAAUAUGUAACUUUCUUCAUCCUCAGAGAAAUCCCCGCUGUCCCCAGGCACCCAUGCAAGGAAAGUCACUUGAUUAUGAAAGUGUUUCAGAAGAAAAGCAGACGCCGGUGGAGAGAGAGGCAGUGUCUCGAAGGAGGGAACAAGCCUCUCUUAAGACAUGUUUUGCAGCUCCAUGAAACUGAAAUCUGGUUGAACAGUGUUUAGACUUCUACCUUUUAACCAUCUCCUAUCACAGCCCACAUUCAAGUGUGGAAAUAUAUGGCCCUUGUUGGAACUCCAUAUAUAGACCAGAUUGCUCUUGAACACAGAAAUAUCUGCCUGAUUUUUAUUCCUGAAAGCUGAGAUUAAAGAACUCAGGACCACCAGCCCAGGGAGAGCACCACAUACAGUGGGCUGGACCCAUCCCUAUUGAUCACUAAUUGAGAAAGUGCCUUGCAGCUGAUCUCAUGGAGACAUUUCCUCAAUUGAAGUUUCUUCCUCUCUAAUGACUCAAACUUGUGUUAAGUCGAUACAAAACCAGCCAGUACAGCUGUGUAUUGGCUGUACUGCUAUACAAAGGACUGUUAUAGUUUGGUGCAAAGUGCCUGUGAUCCACAAUCUCAUAUGUUUGAAAACCUGUACCCAGUUGGUGGAAUUGUUUAGAUAUUAUGCAAAGAAAUAGGAGUUGGUGAUGCUUGCAUCUAUGGCUCCUGAUUUCUUUCCUGUACCCCCAGAGCUCCCUG
rnacentral:lncRNA from 1 species